UGCUUUCCAGAGCGGCUGCACCAAUUUGCAUUCCCACCAACAGUGCAAGAGGGUUCCCGUCUCUCCACAUCCUCUCCAGCAUCUAUAGUCUCCUGAUUUGCUCAUUUUGGCCACUCUGACUGGCAUGAGGUGAUAUCUGAGUGUGGUUUUGAUGUAUUUCUCUUUUCAUUACAUUUUGAGAGGCAAAAUUUUAAACAAUUUUUCAUUCAGUCUAAGCAAUACCAAAUAUCUUGAUGAUAGAUUAACAAAAAAGUUUUAGAUAUUUUUUCCUGGAGUCCUUCUCCUUUAUUUAGAUGACAAGCCGUAGAAUUUUAAGGUUGAAGGGUACCUUAAUGUUUGACACAUACCUGUGUAGCUUUGGUAACUUGGUGGGUUUUUCUGCUCUGAAUGGACAUGCACAUGAUGGGCACUAAAUUAAUGGAGAAAUGUGAAAUGAAUGACUAAUAAGACCCUUUUCUGACCUCACAGAGAACUAAAAUGUUGAGUUGUCAGGUUAUUUGUGGCUACAAAAAUAAUACUGGCAAAUAGUCUGGGGCUAUCAAAUUCAGUUUCGUCUGUAAUUGAAUUAGAGACCCACAUCCUUUUCUCCAAGGAGAUUGGUGUACCAAACCCUGCCUUUGACAGUGUUUAGUAUUACACAAGAUUUCAGCCAAUGAACAAAGUUUCUAUUUAUGGAAAAUGUCAAGGGUGAUAAGCAUGAAAGAGUAGUAAUAUCAUUAUUUUCUAUCUAACUUACUUAAUAAUUGGAUAUGAACAGUGAGAAAAUUUCUGCCAAACAAAUACAAAUGUUCUGUCCUAAGAAAUCGAGUUAAAGUUUCAAAGGUUUGUGGAAUCCUAAAAAUCCAAAACCAAUGCAAAACGAACACUUCAGAUGGGGGCAAUGGUAGGUAGAAAGUCCCAUGGAAAUGUGCACAGGUUUUAUGUCAAAAAGAAAAGCAUUCUUGAACAGCUAGUCCUCCCCUGCAUGGGGCUGGUGUAUUUUUGAGAAUUUGCAUGUCGUCACUUCCAAAAGGAAUAUUUUGUGGUCUCUUCCAGUUGCUUCCAUCCCUGCAUGCUCACGUGCACGUGCGCACACUUGUGCCAGGAUUGUAGUUCCUGGACUCUGAAUUCCUCAGCGUCACAGAGUUUGCAUGUCCCAUCUACAACCCUGAGUCUGGCAUAGCCCAGUUGCUCACCAAAUGUGCAUGAUGGAAUGAAUAAACAAACCUGCCAAAGCAUACAGAAUAAAGGAUUCAGGUAGGUGAUUCUGUCAUUACCAUCUCCACUGUCAGAUGAGAAGACAGGCUGGUGAAAGUUGAGACUUGUUCAAGAUUGGACUGUUGGUGACAGAGCCAAGACAUGAACUCAGAUCUCUUGUUCCUAGAAUUAGGUUCUCUCAACAGAAGAAGAAAAUGAACUUAUGCAUCUUUAAACCUCUAUAUCCAUAUCAUAAAGGUGAAUUUAUUAGUAUUGGCAAGGUUAUUUUUCAUUCUAUAUUUAUUAAUACCUGUCUCAUUUCCCAAAUAAUUCAAAACAUCCGAUGGAUGUACAAUGAGAGAGAAAAAGAGAAAGAAAAGAGAGAGCGGGAAAGAUUAAAGAUCACACACUGGGAAAAUAUACUCUAGAAGUAUAACAAGUAACACUUAGUACUGUAUGCCAGAUAUUGUUCUAAGUGCUUUACAUAAAUUAACUCAUUUAAUACAAACAAUGACUCUGUGAGGUGGGUGCUUACUAUUAUCCCAACUUUACAAUCAUAGGAAAUGAAGCACAGAGAAUUCCAGUAACUUUCUCAGGUCACAGAGCUAAUAUGCAGUGAAGCCUGCAUGUAAACCUAAGUAGUUGUGGGCCUGAAUCUUAAUGCAUGUUACUAUCCUGCCUGCUAAAUAAAUCCUUGGGAUCUGUACUGCUCUAACUACUGUCUCCAGAUCCAGGCCCUGAGAAGCUAUGCCCCUGAAUCUACCCUCACACUUGGUUCCUUUUUGCAGACUGAUUAUGCUUCCACUUUGGUUGUUGUGUUCUUGAAGUCAUUCUUUGGUUUAUUUGGCAUAAUGAAAUCUAUAACGUCUCGUUUUUAAAUAACUAUCUAACUUCACUGAAACCCUUGUCAGCUUUAAUAGGAUUCAGGUCAGAAGAUUUUGAGCAAAAACAGUGCAAGCUACAGACAUGUGUGCAUUUUGCUAAAAGGACAGCCUCCUCUAUUUUGGAAGAUUUUUCUGUCUGAUGGAGUUGUCUGCUCAUAAGGAUCCUUGAGGAGGGAAUGUCGGAGAAAAGGAGGAUUGUUUAGCCUGGAGUUUCCAUCAUAUGGACGUGCGUAUUGAAGCCAUGUGUCCCGUCUUACUGUCUGAACAUCCCAACAAAGCUAAGAGCAGCCACUUCACCAUUAAUCAGCAAUCAGAUGAAGAGCUGACUUCGGAAGAGAACUUCUCUUGCUGCUGUGGCCUGCCCCACACUCUGGCACACUGAAGGACAGGAAACGCCAAGGAUUUUAAGAGCUUUGUGCCAAGAACAUGAGACAAAGACCAAAUAUAUUUUUUAUUAUACCACAACGAGGUAAAUAUAUAUUAAUAGAUUUUUCUGAUGUUAAACAAUUCUUACAUUCUUGUAUUUUGUAUACUCAAUUCACUUUGGCCUGCUAGUAUUUUAUUUAGGGUUUUCCCAUUGUGAGAACGGCCUAUAAUUUUCCUUGUUCAUAUUGUCAUUGUCUCAUUUUAUUAGCAAGUUUCAUUUAGGUUUAUUAAUUAGUUGGGGAUAAUUUCCUCUUUUUUUUAGUGUUAGGAAAAGUUUGUUUAAAAUUAGAACAUGUUCCUUGAAUGUUUCACUCACAUAUGGAAAUUUCUGAGCUGAUUUUACAUUUUGAGAAAUCUUUUAAUUACUGAUCCAGUUAUGAUAAUGAUUAUAUGAUCAUUCCGAUUUUUUAUUUCUUCUUAGUCUUUAGCUUUGGUAAGUUGCAUUUUACUAGAAAUUUGUCCACAUCAUUUAGGUUUUAAACAUGUGGACAUAACAUUAUUCAUAAUGUUUUAUCUUUUUUCUUUUUUUUAAAGUAUUUUCUUAAGUUUAUUUAUUUAUUGAGAGAGAGACAGCGCGUGCACACCAGUGGGGGAGGGGCAGAGAGAGAGGGAGAGAGAGAGAAUCCCAAGCAGUUUCUGCAAGUCAGUUCAGAACCCGGUGUGGGGCUCAAACUCAUAACUGUGAGAUCAUGACCUGAACCAAAGUCAGAUGCUUAACUGAUUGAGCCACCCAGGCAUCCCUUCAUAAUGUCUUUUCUUAUAUUUUAUUUUCUUUUAAGUGUUUGUUUAUUUAUUUAUUUUGAAAGAGAAAGACAGAGUGAGCAAACCUGAGUGGGAGAGGGACAGAGACAGAAGGAGAGAGAGAGAAUUCCAAGCAGGCUCUAAACUCAGCACAGAGCCUAUGAGAUCAUGAUCUGAGCUGAAAUCAAGAGUCAGAUGCUUAACCAACUGAGCCACCCAGGCACACCAGUUUUUUCUUCUAUUUUAAUAUUUGCUGCAAUUAUGCUCCUCUUUUCAAUCUUAAUGUAUGUUAUUUUUUCUCAAAGUACCAAAGCAGAAGUUAUAGCUUAUGAUUGAACGUAACUCUUGUUGUGAGGCCUGUGAGGCUUUAGAUACUUAAGGAUGGCACUAAUUUCUGUCAUUUACUCCACAGAUGGGUGUGAAACUUGUUUUGAAUGCCUUUUUUUAAAUGGAGGUAGGGGGACAUUCCAGAGGUUUCCACUGGGCUUCCCGGUAUGACUGCUCUAAGAUGGUCCAGAGACCAACGGCCCAGUGUGAGAGUUGUGCCACCAAACGUGCCAAUUCCAAUUAUACAGCCAGAGGGAAAAAUCAGCCAAUGUCAAAAGAACAAGAAAUAAGUGUGACGAUGAAAUUAGUUGACAAGACUUUAGAACCAUUGUUAUAAGUAUAUUCAAGGAUUAAAAGAAAAACAUGAACACAUUGAGAGAAUGGAGAAUCUCAAUGGAAAAAUGGAGUCUUUAAAAAAAGAGAAUCAAAUAGAAACUCUAGAUCCAAAAGAAUCAACAUACAAAACGAAAUAAUCACAAGAUAGGUUUAACACUGCAGAAACAAACAAAAAACAACUUGAAGACAGGACACAGGAUCCAUAAAAACUGAAGCACAGAGAGAAAGGGCUGAAAAAAAGAGUGGACAGAGCCUCAGAAAGCUGUAGACAGAUAAACAAUCAGUAUAUAUAUAAUUCAAUUAUCAGAGGGAAAGGUAUUGAUUGGAACAUAGAGUUAUUUCAAGCAAUAGUGGUCAAAUAUUUUCCAAAUUGUACGAAAAAUGUAACCCAAUGAAACUGGGGAAUGUGAAGAAAGAUAAACACAAAAAUCAUAUCAAAACAUACCUUUUCAUCAAAUGGCCAAAAAUCUAUAAAAAAGAGAAAAUAUUAAAAGCAGCUAGAGGAAAGGGACAUUACAUGCAGGUGAAAAUGCUGGCUUCUCACUAACAAUGCAAGACAGUAGCAGAGGACAUUUUUGGCCCGUCACUGGGACUACUUCAAGCCAUGUGCACUAAUUCAGAAAUUCUGCAUGUUGUUCUAAUACAGAGAGGCUCUGUACGGUGCUACUUCUACUCAGCCCCUCAUCUCCAAGUUUCUGUAUUAAAUAAAACCAAAUAGUAAUCCAGGAUCAUACAUUAUAAAAAUUACGCAUCAGGUAGAAGAUGAUCUUGGAUUUGUUUUAAUUCAUCAUCAAUGUGCUGUAUGAGAGUAUGCAUGCCACUUAAUGAUAUCUAAAACUACCCUUAUCUAAUAAGCUGAUAUGUUUUUAGCAAAGAAAUGUUAGUACAAAAAAAAAUGGUUCUGUUAAAUGGAAAAUCAGUAGUAUAAACAAUUCACUUCAAAAAAAUUGUAAUAUUUAUUUAUGUAUUUUUGAGAGAGAGAGAGAGAGAGAGAGCAUGUGUCGGGGAGGGGCAGAAAGAGAGGAAAGAGAAUCCCAGGCAGGUUCCUCACUGUCAGCACAGAGCCGGAUGUGGGGUUUCAAUUCACAAAACCGUGAGAUCAUUGCCUGAGUGGAGAUCAAGAGUCUAGGCUUAACCAACAGAGUCACCCAGGUGCCCCUACAAUAACUCACUUUCAAGCAUCCUGAGAGAAGGAUAUCAAGCAUGCAGAUAAGAAUACCAAGAAGAAAACAAUAAUGCAACUUUAGAAAGUAGUGCAGGAAAUGAGUUUAUCAGGCUCCAGAAGUUAAAGCUCAAGAAAAUCUUAGAAAUAUUGCUUCAAGAUGAAGAGGUUUAUAUCACGAUUAUUAAAUAUUUUAUUGUAAGAGAUUAUUUAAUGGCAGGAAAAAUGCUUGUGAUAUAUGAUUAAAUACUAAAAGAGAAUAGUCACAUAAUAAUAAUGGGUAAAGUAUCUUCCAGUGAUAAAUGGCUGGACACAUAGAUAGAUGGAUGGAUGGAUGGAUAGAUAGAUAGAUAGAUAGAAUGAUAGAAGAAGGGAUACCAAAAUAUUGGCAAUGAUAGAGUAGUAGGCUUAAAGAUGUUUUAAAUUUUCUUCCUUGUGCUUUUUUACAUGACAUUAUACAUUUUCUACAAUAAAUAUGUCAUUUAAAAAAAUAAUAGAUUUGAUUUUUUGGAGUAGUUUUAAGUUUACAGACAAAUUGAGUGGGAAGUAGAAAGUUCCUGUGUUCCUCCUGAUCUCCCCAUCCGAUUUCCCCUAUUAUUAGUAUUAGUAUUAGUAUUAGUACAGCACAUUUGUUACAGUGCUGAGCAAAUAUUGAUAUGAUAUGAACUAAAGUUCAUAGUUUCACUCUUUUCACAAAUGUAUUAUGAUCUACACGACCAGUACAGUAUAGUUUGUUAUUUUUGCAAUUAAAGAUAAAAUUUUAAAAACAAAAAUAGUGAUUACUAUAUAAACUACAGUGAUAAAUAUUUCAGACAAUGUGAUGAGCUGUUUUUUAGCUUCACUGAAAAUAACUCUAAGAAUUAAUUUCUAUUUAUUGCUUCUACUAAUAACACCAAUGGCUUGACCCAGAAAAAUAUCAUCUUUAUCUAUUAAUUUAUGUAUGUAUCCUUUGGGUCUAAGUAAGCAAUUAAUUUCACCGAGGUCAUUCUUUUUCAAAAUAUGGAAAAACUGGAAGAUUUUUACAUCUGUUCAAUUACAUGUCUAAAAAUGCCAGGUAUAUUUGGGGGACACCAUGAGUGGGAGGGCCAGGGAAGACUUUGUAGAGAAAGUGAUAGUUGAAUUGGGACCUAAAGAAUAAGUAAGUAGAAAUGGAAACAAUAUAUGCAAGGUAAAGAAAGGAGAAUGUCAUUCAUGCAAACCAUAAUAGUUAAUAAAUUGGAAGAUUAUAUUAUGUGAAUUCUUAUUUUAAAGAAGAAUAAAACAUUGUUGGAUAUUUGAGCAAACUUAUUGAUGGAGUGCUUUUGAAUUGAGUUGGGACAAAGUGAGAUAAAGAUACAGAGGAAGAGUAGACUUAAUCACACGUAGAGGAUCACAAUCUGAGUAGAGGUUCUAUGUUGCACAAUAUAGAGACUCUGCAAAGGGAAAAGAGUUAAGGAAGGCAAGUCUGGAUUGGUAAGGAAGAAGGAAUUGAUGGAUAGUCUUCUGAAAUAGUUCGAUGACACCAGACGAAGAGGGAAUCAUUCUGGAUUAUUUUAGUAUUUUUUGCCUUUAGGUGUGCAUUUUGGACAGACUAAGAAACAACCAACCAAGCAAACAGACAAACAAACAACAAUUAAAGACCCAUGCAAUUACCCAAGUGUUCAGAGCCUGGAUUUAAAAAGUGGCAGUAGGGCUAGAAGGAAGGGAUGAUUGUAAGACAUUUCUAUAAAAAAGCAAUAACAUAAGAUAAACUUGGACUUGGAGAACAAGGAGAAAACCAAGGUGAACUCAAGAUACUGAUCUUGGAAGAUUGGCAAGGCUGCAGGUGAAAUUGAAAAAUUGGGGAAGAGAAGGUCAGUUUUGGACUGCUGGUUUGGGACAGUAGGGUAGUUAAAUGGAAAAGUCAUGUAGAUACUUGGGCACAAGAUAGAAGUAUUCGAGUGAGAGAGAACAUAGCAGGGAACAAAGACUCAGGACUCAUAAGCAGCAAGGUUGUAUAUGAAGCUUUAAAAGUAGAUUAGCCAUUGGCAUGAGAACUGAGGGGAGAGAACACAAGUAAAGCUUUAAGGAAUAUCUACAAAUGGACAGAAAAGGAAAAAGAGUGAGAGAAGUGUGAGAGAACUAGAAGAAUGGGGCCAGGCAGUUGUGCAAGACUGGGAAGGAGAU